rnacentral:rRNA from 1 species
GAUGAACGCUGGCGGCGUGCCUAAUACAUGCAAGUCGAGCGAACGGACGAUAAGCUCUCUUCUCUGAUGUUAGCGGCUGACGGGUGAGUAACACGUGGAUAACCUACCUAUAAUACUUGGAUAACUUCGUGAAACCAUAUCUAAUACCACAUAAUAUUUUGAACCGCAUGGUUCAAAAGUGAAAGACGCUCUUGCUGUCACUUAUAGAUGGAUCCGCGCUGCAUUAGCUAGUUGGUAAGGGAACGGCUAACCAAGGCAACGAAGCCUAGCCGACCUGAGAGGGUGAUUCGCCAACACGGAAAUGGAAAAACGGUCAAGAUCCCAACGGAGGCCGCCGGAGGGAAACUUUCGACAAGGGCGAAAACCUGAAGGCGGCCAGACGGGUGAGUGAUGAAGGUCUUCGGAUCGUAAAACCCUGUUAUUAGGGAAGAAAAUAUGUGUAAGUAAAUGUGCACAUUUUGACGGUACCUAAUCAGAAAGCAACGGCUAACUACGUG